UUACCGAGUUUACAACUCCCAAACCCAAUGUGAACGUUACCAAACUGUUGCCUCGGCGGGAUCUUCUGCCCCGGGUGCGUCGCAGCCCCGGACCAAGGCGCCCGCCGGAGGACCAACCCAAAACUCUUUUUGUAUACCCCCUCGCGGGUUUUUAUAUAUCUGAGCCUUUCUCGGCGCCCCUUCGUGGGCGUUUCGAAAAUGAAUCAAAACUUUCAACAACGGAUCUCUUGGUUCUGGCAUCGAUGAAGAACGCAGCGAAAUGCGAUAAGUAAUGUGAAUUGCAGAAUUCAGUGAAUCAUCGAAUCUUUGAACGCACAUUGCGCCCGCCAGUAUUCUGGCGGGCAUGCCUGUCCGAGCGUCAUUUCAACCCUCGAACCCCUCCGGGGGGUCGGCGUUGGGGAUCGGCUCCCUCUAAACCGGGUGCCGUCUCCGAAAUACAGUGGCGGUCUCGCCGCAGCCUCUCCUGCGCAGUAGUUUGCACACUCGCAUCGGGAGCGCGGCGCGUCCACGUCCGUAAAACAACCCAAACUUCUGAAAUGUUGACCUCGGAUCAGGUAGGAAUACCCGCUGAACUUAAGCAUAUCAAUAAGCGGAGGAAAAGAAACCAACAGGGAUUGCCCCAGUAACGGCGAGUGAAGCGGCAACAGCUCAAAUUUGAAAUCUGGCCCCUCGGGGUCCGAGUUGUAAUUUGUAGAGGAUGCUUUUGGUGAGGUGCCGCCCGAGUUCCCUGGAACGGGACGCCACAGAGGGUGAGAGCCCCGUCUGGCUGGCCACCGAGCCUCUGUAAAGCUCCUUCGACGAGUCGAGUAGUUUGGGAAUGCUGCUCAAAAUGGGAGGUAUAUGUCUUCUAAAGCUAAAUAUUGGCCAGAGACCGAUAGCGCACAAGUAGAGUGAUCGAAAGAUGAAAAGCACCUUGAAAAGAGGGUUAAAUAGUACGUGAAAUUGUUGAAAGGGAAGCGCUUGUGACCAGACUUGGGCGCGGCGGAUCAUCCGGGGUUCUCUCCGGUGCACUUCGCCGCGUCUAGGCCAGCAUCAGUUCGUCGCGGGGGAAAAAGGCUUCGGGAACGUGGCUCCUCCGGGAGUGUUAUAGCCCGUUGCAUAAUACCCUGCGGUGGACU
rnacentral:rRNA from 1 species